GACGAACCGAGCGAACGUUGUUCGGAAUCACUGGGCUUAAAGGGCGCGUAGGCGGGCUGUCAAGUCUGGGGUGAAAUCCCGCGGCUCAACCGUGGAACUGCCUUAGAUACUGACGGCCUCGAGGGAGGUAGGGGCGAGCGGAACUCUCAGUGGAGCGGUGAAAUGCGUUGAGAUCGGAAGGAACGCCCGUGGCGAAAGCGAGGUCCUGGGCUCUUACUGACGCUGAGACGCGAAAGCCAGGGGAGCGAACGGG
rnacentral:rRNA from 1 species